AGCCACCUAGAGGAAACUUCCAUCAUGCUGGAAAUGUUCUGUCUCACCCAGUAUGUAUACACAAGUAAGAAAUCAAACUCCACAGGAAUAAGUAAGGCUGGCACUUCUAAAGAAGUCCUUUCAAAAUGUUUUGAAAGAAAUUCCAGAGAGGAAAAGAGAAGUCUCUGGGCUGAUUACAGUUCAGCAUAAGGAGCAUGACUUGCACGACCCAGUGCUAUAGUAGCUACUAAUACACAAUGAAAUGAAUAUUAUGGGCAUUAUGAAAUGGCUGAAAAUCCCCACCUGAAGUGAAGAUAAAGAUAAUAUUUACUUUUUCAAUGUCACAGAGUCAUUAUGACAGUUAAAUGGAUAUUUGCCAAGUGUUUCAAAACAAGACCUGAUAAAUAGUA